rnacentral:misc_RNA from 1 species
GAUGAAGAACGUAGCGACAUGCGAUAAGUAGUGUGAAUUGCAGAAUUCAGUGAAUCAUCGAAUCUUUGAACGCACAUUGCGCCCCUUGGUAUUCCAUGGGGCAUGCCUGUUCGAGCGUCAUUUGUACCUUCAAGCUCUGCUUGGUGUUGGGUGUUUGUCUCGCCUCUGCGUGUAGACUCGCCUCAAAACAAUUGGCAGCCGGCGUAUUGAUUUCGGAGCGCAGUACAUCUCGCGCUUUGCACUCAUAACGACGACGUCCAAAAGUACAUUUUUACACUCUUGACCUCGGAUCAGGUAGGGAUACCCGCUGAACUUAAGCAUAUCAAUAAGCGGAGGA